CCUACGGGGGGCAGCAGUGGGGGAUAUUGCGCAAUGGGCGAAAGCCUGACGCAGCGACGCCGCGUGGGUGAUGAAGGCCUUCGGGUCGUAAAGCCCUGUCGAGGGGGAAGAAAUGGUCGAGACCCAAUACGUCUCGAUCUUGACGGUACCCCUAAAGGAAGCACCGGCUAACUCCGUGCCAGCAGCCGCGGUAAUACGGAGGGUGCAAGCGUUGUUCGGAAUCACUGGGCGUAAAGCGCGUGCAGGCGGCUCGUUAAGUCUGGUGUGAAAGCCCGGGGCUCACCCCCGGAAGUGCACUGGAUACUGGCGGGCUCGAGUCCCGGAGAGGAGGGUGGAAUUCCUGGUGUAGCGGUGAAAUGCGUAGAUAUCAGGAGGAACACCGGCGGCGAAGGCGGCCCUCUGGACGGUGACUGACGCUGAGACGCGAAAGCGUGGGGAG
rnacentral:rRNA from 1 species